rnacentral:rRNA from 1 species
GACGAACGCUGGCGGCGUGCUUAACACAUGCAAGUCGAACGGAAAGGCCCUGCUUUUGUGGGGUGCUCGAGUGGCGAACGGGUGAGUAACACGUGAGUAACCUGCCCUUGACUUUGGGAUAACUUCAGGAAACUGGGGCUAAUACCGGAUAGGAGCUCCUGCUGCAUGGUGGGGGUUGGAAAGUUUCGGCGGUUGGGGAUGGACUCGCGGCUUAUCAGCUUGUUGGUGGGGUAGUGGCUUACCAAGGCUUUGACGGGUAGCCGGCCUGAGAGGGUGACCGGCCACAUUGGGACUGAGAUACGGCCCAGACUCCUGCGGGAGGCAGCAGUGGGGAAUAUUGCACAAUGGGCGGAAGCCUGAUGCAGCAACGCCGCGUGCGGGAUGACGGCCUUCGGGUUGUUAACCGCUUUCGCCUGUGACGAAGCGUGAGUGACGGUAAUGGGUAAAGAAGCACCGGCUAACUACGUG